CGUGUUCAUCGUCUGCCUUGAUGUGUUUGUCAUAUCAUAAGGCACGCGGUGAAUGCCAA
rnacentral:pre_miRNA from 1 species